UAGGGCAGUAAUGAUAUUUGUGCCAGAGGCAGUCCAUUGAGGGGCAAAGGAAGCAAACUCCCACCAUGAAUGUCAUCAUACAACCCACGACAGCUGCCAAACUUGGUUUUGAUCUGACGGUCGUGAGACCGGACUCGCCGCAGUAGACGCAGUUGAAUGGGGCCGGAGUGUCGUGGAACAUCGUCUGCUGCAGCGGGAUGCCCUUCGGAUCGCCGUACACGGCGUUCGGCGGGAUCAUUCCCGCCUGGUGCGGGGUUUCGCCCACGUAGUACGUCUGCGGCGGUGGAGCCGCGGUGGCGGUGGCGUGGUAAGCAUAGGGAACGCCGAGCGCUGGCUCCUCCUUCGACGCCAUCGGUCAGAUCUGAUUGCUCCGGCGAUCGGGAGGGGUGGGGGAAUUGUAGGCGGAGAUUUUGAGUCUCG
rnacentral:misc_RNA from 1 species